GUUAGGGUUAGGGUCAGGGUUAGGGUAAGGGUUAGGGUUAGGGUAGGGGUUAGGGUAAGGGUUAGGGUUAGGGUUAGGUUAAGG